AUGGGAUGGAGCUGGAUCUUUCUUUUCCUCCUGUCAGGAACUGCAGGUGUCCAUUGCCAGAUCCAGCUGCAGCAGUCUGGACCUGAGCUGGUGAAGCCUGGGGCUUCAGUGAAGAUAUCCUGCAAGGCUUCUGGCUACACCUUCACUGACUACUAUAUAAACUGGGUGAAGCAGAGGCCUGGACAGGGACUUGAGUGGAUUGGAUGGAUUUAUCCUGGAAGCGGUAAUACUAAGUACAAUGAGAAGUUCAAGGGCAAGGCCACAUUGACUGUAGACACAUCCUCCAGCACAGCCUACAUGCAGCUCAGCAGCCUGACCUCUGAGGACUCUGCGGUCUAUUUCUGUGCAAGA